rnacentral:misc_RNA from 1 species
ACAGUGAGUUUUGUCGUAGUGCUAGACUUGACU